rnacentral:tRNA from 1 species
ACCUGGAUGGUUCAGUCGGUUGAACGUCUGACUCUUGAUUUCGGCUCAGGUCAUGGUCCCAGGGUUGUGGGAUCAAGUCCCAAUUUGGGUU